CCUACGGGAGACUGCAGUGAGGAAUAUUGGUCAAUGGGCUUACGCCUGAACCAGCCAAGUCGCGUGAGGGAAGACUGCCCUAUGGGUUGUAAACCUCUUUUGUCAGGGAGCAACGCAGGCUACGUGUAGCCGGACUGAGAGUAACCUAAGAAAAAGCAUCGGCAAACUCCUGUCCAGCAGCCGCGGUAAUAAGGAGGAUGCGAGCGUUAUGCUGAUUUAUCGGGGUUAAGGGGUGCGUGGGAGGAAUGGCAAGUGAGCGGUAAAAUCGCGGGGCUCAACCUCGCUCCGCCGUUGAAACUGGCGUUCUUGAGUGGGCGAGAAGUACGCGGAAUGCGUGGUGUAGCGGUGAAAUGCAUAGAUAUCACGCAGAACUCCGAUUGCGAAGGCAGCAUACUGGCGCCCAACUGACGCUGAAGCACGAAAGCGUGGGUAUCGAACAGGAUUAGAUACCCGGGUAGUC
rnacentral:rRNA from 1 species